rnacentral:rRNA from 1 species
GACGAACGCUGGCGGCGUGCUUAACACAUGCAAGUCGAACGAAGUGGCGAACGGGUGAGUAACGCGUACUCAACCUGCCCUUCAGAGGGGGACAACAGUUGGAAACGACGGCUAAUACCCAAUACUGAAGGUGGGGAUUGCGUCUGAUUAGCUAGUUGGAGGGGUAACGGCCCACUAAGGCGAUGAUCAGUAGCCGGUCUGAGAGGAUGAACGGCAACAUUGGGACUGAGACACGGCCCAGACUCCUACGGGAGGCAGCAGUGGGGAAACUUCCGAAAUGGACGAAAGUCUGACGGAGCAACGCCGCGUGAGUGAUGACGGCCUUCGGGUUGUAAAGCUAGGUUAAGCGGGACGCGGUACCGGAAUAGAAAGCCACGGCUAACUACGUGCCAGCAGCCGCGGUAAUAC